rnacentral:misc_RNA from 1 species
AGAGGAUUCACAUAUUCCGGCAGAUUGUGAAGUUAAUUGAUAUUGCUCACUCUGAAGGAAAUGCAUUCCAGGAUAUACGGCCUUCCUGUUUCAUUUUACUGUCACCUAAUGGUGUUAAAUAUAUUGGUUCAUCUGUCCAGAUAGACUCCAUGUAUGCUGUGAGCCGGAAUACUAAUGGGAAAAGGCCAUCCGACAUGGAAAUG